rnacentral:lncRNA from 1 species
UCUGCCCUACACAUUUCAGGAUGAGCAAAUGCUUUCAGCCAUCAAGAAGAUUCUAACGGGAUCUUUAAAAUAUGCCAAGAACAAAGAAAGAAAAAUCAAAACUCAAAGGAGCUUCCUCGUCUUUUGUUCCUAUUCUCACAAAGUUCCUGAAAACAUAUGAAAAACACUGUCUCCAGUCUCAGACUUCUGUGUGCCCCACCAUCAAGAAGGCCUUGAAAACCAGCAUAGAGAACAAACAAAUCCUCAGGAAGUUGAUGCUCGUAAGCCCUGCUGUCUCCCCAAAAAACUUCCCAGAAGUUUCUCUUGAACCUUUGCUCAAGACGAUUCGAGAUGAACGAUACAUGCUGGGAAGAGAACUUUGCAUCUGGGGGAUGAAGCUAAAAAAUUCAGAUGUUGCAAGCCUAGCCAUACUUCUAGAGCUGCGAGGACGCACUAUGUACCCAUUUUCUACCCUAGAAAUCAUUAACAGCCAAAUGGACCUGUGGUCGAUAGAGAGGCUGGGCAAGUGUCUUCUUUCAAGCAAUUUGCUCUCAAUUAUAUUGGAUUACAACAAGUUUGGAAAUGAGGAAGUUGAUAUUCUUAUGGCUGGCCUGGAAAAAAACCAAAAGCUUAUGAUUCUUAGCCUCCGUUAUUGUAAUCUGGGACCAACCAGCGGCUCAAAACUGGGCCAGGCAGUUAGUCAAAGUGCCAUUUGUGAACUUUAUCUUAGUGGAAAUUACUUACAAUGUUCUGGGGCCUUGGCUCUCAUCGAACCUAUAGCAGAAUUUGCAGAAAACCAGGGAAAAGAUAAAGCAACAAAGCUUUUACAAGACAGAAGGAGUCCAUCUCAACAAAUGCUUCAAGGAUUCAAGAAAAACAAAAAAGCAUCUUCUGAAAUUGGUCCUUGGUUAAUCAAGCUGCAUUUGGAUGAUAAUGGCAUAGAUGGAAGAGGGAAAGAAGGAGAAGGGGGCGUACUGAAUUCACUCACUGUCAACUUAGUAGUUCAUCACAGGGGACCUGAGAAAGUUUCCUCCCUCUGCCUGAUUCAACUGGCUCAUGCUUAACUGUGGCCAUCAUCUUCAGCAGUUCAAGGAGAAUCUUUUCCAUAAUUGCCCAUUUCUCUAAGGGGAAGUCUGGAGUGCUUAAUAGAUAAUGUAUGAAGUUAAGAGGAAAUUCAAACUCUUUUAGCCAGAUGGAAAUACCCAAAGAAUUUUUCAUACUGUGGCUGUUGACUACUCCCUACCUGUAGAGUAAGGUAGUAUCUGUGGAAUAGUAAGUGGAGAGACAGAGAUAGAUGUGAAAAAUAUAGGUGAUAGAAUCAACAAAACUUGGCAAAUGUUGGAUAUAUAGGAUAUGAGUGUAGGAAGGGGCAAGGAUGACUCUAAGGUCACAAAUUGAAAUGACUAGAACAAAGGAUUCCUAACUUUUUGGGGUCAUCAACUCCUUCAGAAAUCUGGUAAAGCUUAUGGACUUCAACAGAAUCCUAUUUUUAAAUAAUUGAAAGAAAUGCUCAAUUUGAAUUAGAGGUUAAUGUAGUUUG